rnacentral:miRNA from 1 species
CUGGGUGAGUGGGCUCUG